rnacentral:lncRNA from 1 species
GAGAGUGCUAGCUCGUGCGAAGAUCUUCUUCUUGACUGAUCUGAAUUAUUUUUUCAAAUCUCUAAAAUCUUUUUAGAGGUUAAAGAUGAUCAUCUGGAGGAUAUGAAGAUGUGAAAGAAAAAAGGAGAAGAAACAAUUUUCUCUCAUAUUUUUCUCUCCUCCCAAACCCUAAGGACUAAACCCUAGGUUUUUGAUCUUGCGCUCACCCAAGAGAAGAGAACUCUUCUCUCCCUUUUUCAUGCCAUAAACUCAUGCCCCA